CCUGACGACCAUAGCGAGCGUGAACCACCCGAUCCCAUGCCGAACUCGGAAGUGAAACCGCUUAGCGCCGAUGGUAGUGUGGAGUUUCUCACUCAUGAACAAGCGCAAGGAGGCGGCAUGU
rnacentral:rRNA from 1 species